GCCAGCAGCCGCGGUAACACCGGCAGCUCUAGUGGUAGCUGUUUUAUUGGGCCUAAAGCGUUCGUAGCCGGUUUGAUAAGUCACUGGUGAAAUCCUGUAGCUUAACUGUGGGAAUUGCUGGUGAUACUGUUGAACUUGAGGUCGGGAGAGGUUAGCGGUACUCCCAGGGUAGAGGUGAAAUUCUGUAAUCCUGGGAGGACCACCUGUGGCGAAGGCGGCUAACUGGAACGAACCUGACGGUGAGGGACGAAAGCUAGGGGCGCGAACCGGAUUAGAUACCCGGGUAGUCCUAGCCGUAAACGAUGCGGACUUGGUGUUGGGAUGGCUUUGAGCCGCUCCGGUGCCGAGGGGAAGCUGUUAAGUCCGCCGCCUGGGAAGUACGGUCGCAAGACUGAAACUUAAGGAAUUGGCGGGGGAGCACCACAACGCGUGGAGCCUGCGGUUUAAUUGGAUUCAACGCCGGACAUCUCACCAGGAGCGACAGCUGUAUGAUUACCAGGCUGAUGACCUUGUUUGACUAGCUGAGGAGUGGUGCAUGG
rnacentral:rRNA from 1 species